rnacentral:snoRNA from 1 species
UGGUGAUGAAGGUAAAUUUAAGGCAUGUUUCUCAUAACAUUCGCAGUUGCCGCCUAAGAGUUUUUGGCUUUUUGCCUUACCAGGCUUCGAGAGAUAAUCUUGUUAAAUCCUUCUUUAGAUGUUUGAGCCU